GGCCGGUUAACUCAGUGGUUUGAGUGCGGUGCUAACAACAAUGACUGACACCGAGGUCGCGGGUUCAAUUCCCACUCGGUCC
rnacentral:tRNA from 1 species